rnacentral:rRNA from 1 species
UACGUAGGGUGCAAGCGUUAAUCGGAAUUACUGGGCGUAAAGCGUGCGCAGGCGGCUUUGCAAGACAGAUGUGAAAUCCCCGGGCUUAACCUGGGAACUGCAUUUGUGACUGCAAGGCUGGAGUGCGGCAGAGGGGGAUGGAAUUCCGCGUGUAGCAAUGAAAUGCGUAGAUAUGCGGAGGAACACCGAUGGCGAAGGCAAUCCCCUGGGCCUGCACUGACGCUCAUGCACGAAAGCGUGGGGAGCAAACAGG